rnacentral:misc_RNA from 1 species
GAUGAAGAACGUAGCGAAAUGCGAUAAGUAAUGUGAAUUGCAGAAUUCAGUGAAUCAUCGAAUCUUUGAACGCACAUUGCGCCGGCCAGUAUUCUGGCGGGCAUGCCUGUUCGAGCGUCAUUACAACCCUCAGGCCCCCGGGCCUGGCGUUGGGGAUCGGCGGAGCCCCCCGUGGGCACACGCCGUCCCCCAAAUGCAGUGGCGGUCCCGCCGCAGCUUCCAUCGCGUAGUAGCUAACACCUCGCGCCUGGAGAGCGGCGCGGCCACGCCGUAAAACACCCAACUCUUCUGAAGUUGACCUCGAAUCAGGUAGGAAUACCCGCUGAACUUAAGCAUAUCAAUAAGCGGAGGA